rnacentral:rRNA from 1 species
GAUGAACGCUGGCGGCGUGCCUAAUACAUGCAAGUCGAGCGAACAGACGAGGAGCUUGCUCCUCUGACGUUAGCGGCGGACGGGUGAGUAACACGUGGAUAACCUACCUAUAAUACUGGGAUAACUUCGGGAAACCGGAGCUAAUACCGGAUAAUAUAUUGAACCGCAUGGUUCAAUAGUGAAAGACGGUUUUGCUGUCACUUAUAGAUGGAUCCGCGCCGCAUUAGCUAGUUGGUAAGGUAACGGCUUACCAAGGCAACGAUGCGUAGCCGACCCGAGAGGGUGAUCGGCCACACUGGAACUGAGACACGGUCCAGACUCCUACGGGAGGCAGCAGUAGGGAAUCUUCCGCAAUGGGCGAAAGCUUGACGGAGCAACGCCGCGUGAGUGAUGAAGGUCUUCGGAUCGUAAAACUCUGUUAUUAGGGAAGAACAAAUGUGUAAGUAACUAUGCACGUCUUGACGGUACCUAAUCAGAAAGCCACGGCUAACUACGUG